CACUAACAGGAGCGUGGAAGACUCCAGAAUCCACUCUGGCUGGAAUCCGGUGGAUACAGCAGUGUUACAGGUACAGUACGUGAUAUUAAGGGCAGAAGGUCAUCACUGGGGGAAGACAAGAAGCAGACGUACUUCCAAGAGGGAGCUGCAGUGAGGACACAGCCUGGUCACUGAGGUCAGAGGAGGCACUGAAAGGUUUCCCUAAUAGUUCCUGGUGAAUCAAAGCAGGACCAUAAAGGUUGCUGGACUGCAUGAUGGCCUUACCCCUGAGCAGUCAUCCUGUUAAAGGAGGAACCAGUUAGAAGCUGUUUUCAAAGUAGCUGAGCAGAUUUCACCUCAAGUAAGCGAUUAACUGUUUGUUUGUUUGUUCUGCCACUUAAAGAGCAUUUAAGGACGUCUUUUGAGUGUUUAGUUGAAUUAAUUCUACUG
ensembl:lncRNA